rnacentral:rRNA from 1 species
GAUGAACGCUGGCGGCGUGCCUAAUACAUGCAAGUCGAGCGAACAGACGCGUUGCUUUCUCCUCUGACGUUUGCGGCGGUCGGGUUAGUUCCACGUGUAUCACCUCCCUUUAAUUCUGGGAUAACUUCGUGAACUCGUAUCUCAUACCGGAUAAUUUUUUGAACCGCUUGGUUCAAUCGUGUUUGACGGUUUUGCUGUCCCUUAUAGAUUGUUCCGCGCCGCAUUAGCUAGUUGGUAAGGUAACGGCUUACCAAGGCCACGAUGCGUAUCCUCCCUGAGAGGAUGAUCAGCCACACUGGAACUGAGACACGGCCCAGACUCCUACGGGAGGCAGCAGUAGGGAAUCUUCCGCAAGGGGCGAAAGCCUGACAGAGCAACGCCGCGUGAGGGAUGAAGGACUUCGGAUCGUAAAACGCUGUUAUAAGGGAAGAAAAAAAGUGUAAUAAAAUAGGCACGUCAUGACGGUACCGAAAGAAAAAGCAACGGCUAACUACGUG